ensembl:lncRNA
CAGAGACUUCCUGAAACCAUUUUUUUUUUCUCCAGUUUUUUCCCCCCCGAAUUAAAAAGGCUCCUCUGGCGUCGUGCUGGAUGUAUGCAGGCCAACAAGGGUUAGGGAGAGAUUUGGACGUGUCCCCGUGCGCGUGUCCACUUAGGAGACACAUUUGUGCGUGCUACUGCCUGCGUGCAUUUUUAUAGAUGACCAAAAAGAGUGAUGUUCAAAGACCUUCAAGUAGGAUGCCAAGUGCCAACCGCUGUGCCGGACUGUUUGCUUUGCUUCUCCCUCUGCAGCCGUAAAAAUGAAGGGAAAUAAUCAGGAGAUAACCCACCACGCCACGCAUUCCUUCUCCUUUGUUCACUUUUAUCCC